UACGUAGGGUGCGAGCGUUGUCCGGAAUUACUGGGCGUAAAGGGCUUGUAGGUGGUUUGUCGCGUUGUUCGUGAAAUCCCGUGGCUUAACUGCGGGCGUGCGGGCGAUACGGGCAGACUGGAGUACUGCAGGGGAGACUGGAAUUCCUGGUGUAGCGGUGGAAUGCGCAGAUAUCAGGAGGAACACCGGUGGCGAAGGCGGGUCUCUGGGCAGUAACUGACGCUGAGAAGCGAAAGCGUGGGGAGCAAACAGG
rnacentral:rRNA from 1 species